CGGGUAAGGCCGAGCACUUUAGCCGAACUGCCGUUGACAAAACGGAGGAAGCGGGGAUGACGUCAAAUCAUCAUGCCCUUUUAUGUCCUGGGCUACACACGUGCUACAAUGGCCUGUACAAAGGGCAGCAAAGGGGCGACCCGGAGCAAAUCCCAAAAAACAAGGUCUCAGUUCGGAUUGCAGGCUGCAACUCGCCUGCAUGAAGGCGGAAUCGCUAGUAAUCGCAGGUCAGCAUACUGCGGUGAAUACGUUCCCGGGCCUU
rnacentral:rRNA from 1 species